rnacentral:rRNA from 1 species
UACGUAGGCAGCGAGCGUUGUUCGGAGUUACUGGGCGUAAAGGGUGUGUAGGCGGUUCUUUUAGUUUGGGGUGAAAUCUCCCGGCUCAACCGGGAGGGUGCGCCGAAUACUGAGGGACUAGAGUGCGGGAGAGGAAAGUGGAAUUCCUGGUGUAGCGGUGAAAUGCGUAGAUAUCAGGAGGAACACCGGUGGUGUAGACGGCUUUCUGGACCGUAACUGACGCUGAGACACGAAAGCGUGGGUAGCAAACAGG